AAGGAAUACAAAUUUCAACUGCCUGCACAAAUGGAUUUCAAGCAAAUGGCAGACAACUUUAACAUGGCAGCCAGAAUUCAACAGCCAGCAAUACAUACUCCAUGUAUGACUGCUUUAAGCCUUAUCCAAAGGAAACAGGAGACAAGCUCUCCUGGUGUUCAUUUGAGGGUUAGAGCAGCCAAAUUCAUGAUUUUACCUUGCAUUUACACUUAUUUAUGGAAGGUGGGCAGGUUCUGCAGUUUAUUUUGCAGUACUUUUGUCUGUAUACUAUUGAUGAAUUAUAAAUAUACGAGUGAAUAUUUUAUUGUGAUAUUGUAGCUACUCUGGACUCAAAAAUUGGCAACUAAAUUCUCACAAAUAAACAAACAAAUUAACUAAUAAAUAGGUACUACUGCAACUAAUUUCUCACCCAUCCUUGUUUUCCUUUCCGUAUACAAUUUUUCCCCUUUCUCUCUCGAGCAUUAGAAUAUCAUUUCAUCAUUACAGUCUAGAUGAUUUCCAUUACUCAUGUCAAUAAAAGACUGGUUCCAACAAACUAAAAUGGUAAUACGCGAAAACAAUUAGAAACCCCUGCUUCCUGCUACUAGUGGGGAGCUGUUGGGUUAUUAUGAAAAUUUGAUUUAGAUCCUCUUUCUUCAUUUCUUUUCCCCUUUCUUGUGGGAUGAAGUAAAGAGCAGUUGGGUCACAAAGGGAGCUGAUUCAAAUCCUCAAUCCACAACAUCAAUAAAUUACAUGAUUUAUUGAGCAUAGAUCAUCAUCAUUAUUAACUUA
rnacentral:misc_RNA from 1 species